CCUACGGGAGGCAGCAGUAAGGAAUAUUGGUCAAUGGACGCAAGUCUGAACCAGCCAUGCCGCGUGAAGGAUUAAGGUCCUCUGGAUUGUAAACUUCUUUUAUUUGGGACGAAAAAGGGUCUUUCUAGAUCAACUGACGGUACCAGAUGAAUAAGCACCGGCUAACUCCGUGCCAGCAGCCGCGGUAAUACGGAGGGUGCAAGCGUUAUCCGGAUUCACUGGGUUUAAAGGGUGCGUAGGCGGGUAGGUAAGUCAGUGGUGAAAUCCUAGAGCUCAACUCUAGAACUGCCAUUGAUACUAUUUAUCUUGAAUAUUGUGGAGGUAAGCGGAAUAUGUCAUGUAGCGGUGAAAUGCUUAGAUAUGACAUAGAACACCUAUUGCGAAGGCAGCUUACUACGCAUAUAUUGACGCUGAGGCACGAAAGCGUGGGGAUCAAACAGGAUUAGAUACCCUGGUAGUCCACGCCCUAAACUAUGAUUACUCGACAUUUGUGAUACACUAUAAGUGUCUGAGAGAAGAGAUAAGUAAUACUAACCGUAGGUAGUUACGUUCGUCGAGAGUAGAAGACGAAGAAGUUAGAGGCGNGAGAGNGCGACGACGACGACGAGGGAGGAGG
rnacentral:rRNA from 1 species